CAUACUAAGUUUCAACAACGGAUCUCUUGGCUCUCGCAUCGAUGAAGAACGCAGCGAAAUGCGAUAAGUAAUGUGAAUUGCAGAAUUCAGUGAAUCAUCGAAUCUUUGAACGCACCUUGCGCUCCUUGGUAUUCCUUGGAGCAUGCCUGUUUGAG
rnacentral:rRNA from 1 species